rnacentral:snRNA from 1 species
AAAAGUGAAGACAGUAUGACUACAACAACUGUCACCUCAUUGAUUGACAGGGCUGAUCGUUGAUCUGGCCAGUCAGUUGUGUCCCUUCCUCCCUCACUACACCAUGUAUGUCCCUGCAAAAGCUGCACACUCAACCUCCCCCAAACAGAGAAAAAUCACUUUNGGCCAAGGGUGUACAAGUCCCUGCAUUCCCCUGUUGGAUCCAAACAAGAUGUCAAAACAGAGAGUAGAAAAUCUUCUUGGCUUAACAUAUAUUUACAAAGUCUGACCCUGU